GAUGAACGCUGGCGGCGUGCCUAAUACAUGCAAGUCGAGCGAACGGACGAGAAGCUUGCUUUUCUGAUGUUAGCGGCGGACGGGUGAGUAACACGUGGAUAACCUACCUAUAAGACUGGGAUAACUUCGGGAAACCGGAGCUAAUAUCGGAUAAUAUUUUGAACCGCAUGGUUCAAAAGUGAAAGACGGUCUUGCUGUCACUUAUAGAUGGAUCCGCGCUGCAUUAGCUAGUUGGUAAGGUAACGGCUUACCAAGGCAACGAUGCAUAGCCGACCUGAGAGGGUGAUCGGCCACACUGGAACUGAGACACGGUCCAGACUCCUACGGGAGGCAGCAGUAGGGAAUCUUCCGCAAUGGGCGAAAGCCUGACGGAGCAACGCCGCGUGAGUGAUGAAGGUCUUCGGAUCGUAAAACUCUGUUAUUAGGGAAGAACAUAUGUGUAAGUAACUGUGCACAUCUUGACGGUACCUAAUCAGGAAGCCACGGCUAACUACGUG
rnacentral:rRNA from 1 species